CGCACCUUGCGCUCCUUGGUAUUCCGAGGAGCAUGCCUGUUUGAGUGUCAUUAAAUUCUCAACCUCACCAAUUUUGUAACGAAGUUGUGUGUAGGCUUGGAUGUGGGGGCUUGCAGGUCCACCUCGUGUGGUCUGCUCCUCUAAAAUGUAUUAGUGGGUUGUGCCCCUAAUCUAUUGGUGUGAUAAUUAUCUACGCCGUGGAUCAGGUUGGCGACGAUAGACCUGCUUCUAACCGUCCGACUCGGACAUCAUUUGACCAAUUUGACCUCAAAUCAGGUAAGACUACCCGCUGAACUUAA
rnacentral:misc_RNA from 1 species